ensembl:lncRNA
GGCACUUUCCCGUGCUUUCUUUCCAACGUGACACCAUCACACCAGGGACAGAGCUGGAGCGCCAUGAAGACUAGGAAGGACAACUCAUCCACCUGUGACCUCAGGAUGAAAUCUCCUAACAGGAAAAACCUGUGACCUCAUGAUGAAAUCUCCUAACAGGAAAAACCUGUGACCUCAGGAUGAAAUCUCCUAACAGGAAAAACCUGCAGUAUCGCCCACCCCCACUGUUUCCAAACACCCAGACAGGGCGGCAUCUGAGGUUCUUCAAUCAAGGGCACUUGAAUGAAUGGAUGGGAAGGAAGGUGGCAAGGCAGAAGGAAGUUUAAAUGAAAAACAACUACACCAAAACAUGCCAGACCUAGGGGUUCCUAGAAGUCAAGGAAGACAAGAGACAACCUUUCCAGAGCAUUUACUGUGCUCCUGACGCCAGGGGAACCGACCUUCUCUGGAAGCACAACAGGCCACCUCACAUCCUAUUAUGCACCGAUUCAAUGGACGUGAACUUGGGCGAACUCCGGGAGACACUGAAGGACAAGGAGGCUGGCCUGCUGCUGUCCACGGGAUCUCAAGAAAGUCGGACACGACUUAGACCCUGAACAAUACCACACGUGUUCAAAUCCGCUUCUAAAACUAAAGCUUCACGUUCUCGCUUUAUGCUUCUAUAUCCAAGUUUGAAAGACUUUUCUUCUUCCAAUUAGCAACAUGACGGCGCUGCGCACGGCUUGUUCAUAACGUUCAUUGUGGCCAGUAACGCGACGGUAAUUAUGACUUUCUGGAAUGAAAAUGUGAACAAAAUACAAGAAAUCCGGCACAACUGAAUUUCAAUUUCUAGUUAAAAAAAAAGACGUGAAAGAACAGCUAAUUAUCUUUAUUAUCUAGACUUCUCCAAUGACAUUAAGUAAAAACCACUCCGAGGCUUUGAAAUCAGAAUAAAAGUGGAGUUUGCGAAAUACCCCUCUAUCAUGAAUUGGUGCUUCCCAGGGCUCGCCGUCUCGGCUUGCACGCCGCUGUUCUGCCGCCUCCUCUCCCGUCCCUUCGCUCAUCGAUGAAAAGAUAACUUCAAAGUCCCCGACGCCCGUGCAGGUGCAGGAAGCGCCGCGAAAACAACAACUUUGGGAGUCUUUGUAGCGCCUUCCUCACCCACCCCCGCCCUCCGCCCCACCCCAGACCAGUGCCCUCGAGUGACCUCCGCCCCACCCCAGACCAGUGCCCUCCACGGGCCGCACACGGCAAUUCCUCCCAGCACCCCGGAUCGCGGCGACCCUCGCGCACGAUCGCCCCCAGCCCAGGUCCCAGGCCAGAGGGCCGGCUGUCACCAGCCGCCAAGGCGCGCCCCCCCGCGCCCUCUCCAUCCCAGCGAAGACGACUCGGCGCGGAGCAGCAAAGCGGUCACGCGGACACGUGCAGAGGCUACUUUUAAAGUGGGUGUUCGAGAAAGUCAUUAAACAGCUAAAUGCCGCCGCCGGAGGCUGGUGAAGCCAAAGGGACCCGGCGCGGCCGCGCCCCGACCCCUCCCGGGAAGCCUCGCCGGCGACCCCGCGCGCCCACCUGCGGGCGCGGCGCCUCGCGAUCGCAGCCGCCCUCGCCCCUCUCCCCUCCCUCCCCUCCCUGCGGCGCGACCCCCCUGCGCGCAGCCCUGCCCUCCGCGAGCCCCCCGGGGAUGGCGAGCCGGAGGGCGCCGGGACGCCCCCGCGGCGCCCGCGCCGGGCCCGGGACUCACUGCGGGGCGCUGCCAGCGGCUCCCAGCGCCGGUCGCUCCUCCUGCGCGGCGCCGCGGGCUCGGCUCCACCUCCCGCUCCGGCGGCCGCCGAGCCUCCGGGGACCCGCGGGCGGGGAGCGCAGGGCCGCCGCCAAGCCCGGAGCCGGGGCUGGGGCUGGGGCUGGGGGGCGGCGAGCCACGGGCGGGGCGGGGGGCGCGCCGGCCCGAGCGGGUCCCCGCGCGCCGGGCGAGCCUGAGACCACCCCGCAGGUGGCGGAUCCGCGCGCGCCCGAGGCCCGAGAAGUUGCGGGAGGGGCGAGGACGAGGCGGCAGCCGGGCUCCGGCCGAGAGAGAGAGGGUCGGUCCAGGAGCAGGACAAAAAGGACAAGACAUCCUCCCAUCCUGGCGCCCCCACUGAGCACUCUUCCCCGAGUGCCAGACAGCUGGCGCAGUUCCACGGGCUCAUGCUGUCAACAGGAUCAGCGAGACCUCACGGAGAAGCCUCUAGCACAGCAAGCGGCUCGGCCGAGACGCUGCCGCCUGCUUCUGUGCACCCAGCAUCCCCCACCCAUCCCAGGAGACAAGAAACGCCUUACGGGGGAAUCACAGAAUAAAACUAGAGCGGGGCAGCACCAGAGACGAACGCACAUCUGGUCUGUAUCCGCCUGACAUAAAAUUCUGAGAUCUAAACACAGAUGAGCUCGAGACGGGCCCUUUUAUUUCUACAGCAGUCGCGGUAAUCCACCCUUGUAGAGAUCUAGCUCAGCUGGGUCUGUCUGCUCUGACAGCAGGAAUACUGGCUUGUAGAUAUAUCCCUUGGACACCCCAGGUCUCUAAAGUAUACAGACAACUCUGUACACACAGCCCUUUUAACUCUGUGCAGACAACCUUUUUAACUCUGAUGGAUAGAUUAUUUUAAAUAUUAUUACUUCUUUCCAAGCAUUAUUAGCAUCUUUUUAAAAAAUAGAUCAUUUAUCACUUAAGUCAGUAUCUUCAAAGUCCUGUCCGACUUCCAGGCCUUACUCUGGGCCCUGUCACUGCUAUAAAUACAUGAUAUAAU